GAUGAACGCUGGCGGCGUGCCUAAUACAUGCAAGUCGAGCGAACAGACGAGGAGCUUGCUCCUCUGACGUUAGCGGCGGACGGGUGAGUAACACGUGGAUAACCUACCUAUAAGACUGGGAUAACUUCGGGAAACCGGAGCUAAUACCGGAUAAUAUAUUGAACCGCAUGGUUCAAUAGUGAAAGACGGUUUUGCUGUCACUUAUAGAUGGAUCCGCGCCGCAUUAGCUAGUUGGUAAGGUAACGGCUUACCAAGGCAACGAUGCGUAGCCGACCUGAGAGGGUGAUCGGCCACACUGGAACUGAGACACGGUCCAGACUCCUACGGGAGGCAGCAGUAGGGAAUCUUCCGCAAUGGGCGAAAGCCUGACGGAGCAACGCCGCGUGAGUGAUGAAGGUCUUCGGAUCGUAAAACUCUGUCAUUAGGGAAGAACAAAUGCGUAAGUAACUAUGCACGUCUUGACGGUACCUAAUCAGAAAGCCACGGCUAACUACGUG
rnacentral:rRNA from 1 species